GACGAACGCUGGCGGCGUGCCUAAUACAUGCAAGUAGAACGCACAGUUUAUACCGUAGCUUGCUACACCAUAGACUGUGAGUUGCGAACGGGUGAGUAACGCGUAGGUAACCUGCCUGGUAGCGUGGGAUAACUAUUGGAAACGAUAGCUAAUACCGCAUAAUAUUAAUUAUUGCAUGAUAAUUAAUUGAAAGGUGCAAUUGCACCACUACCAGAUGGACCUGCGUUGUAUUAGCUAGUAGGUGAGGUAACGGCUCACCUAGGCGACGAUACAUAGCCGACCUGAGAGGGUGAUCGGCCACACUGGGACUGAGACACGGCCCAGACUCCUACGGGAGGCAGCAGUAGGGAAUCUUCGGCAAUGGACGAAAGUCUGACCGAGCAACGCCGCGUGAGUGAAGAAGGUUUUCGGAUCGUAAAGCUCUGUUGUAAGAGAAGAACGGGUGUGAGAGUGGAAAGUUCACACUGUGACGGUAUCUUACCAGAAAGGGACGGCUAACUACGUG
rnacentral:rRNA from 1 species